UAGAGUUUGAUCAUGGCUCAGGACGAACGCUGGCGGCAUGCCUUACACAUGCAAGUCGAACGGCAGCACGGGGGCAACCCUGGUGGCGAGUGGCGAACGGGUGAGUAAUACAUCGGAACGUGUCCUGUAGUGGGGGAUAGCCCGGCGAAAGCCGGAUUAAUACCGCAUACGACCUAAGGGAGAAAGCGGGGGAUCUUCGGACCUCGCGCUAUAGGGGCGGCCGAUGGCAGAUUAGCUAGUUGGUGGGGUAAAGGCCUACCAAGGCGACGAUCUGUAGCUGGUCUGAGAGGACGACCAGCCACACUGGGACUGAGACACGGCCCAGACUCCUACGGGAGGCAGCAGUGGGGAAUUUUGGACAAUGGGGGAAACCCUGAUCCAGCAAUGCCGCGUGUGUGAAGAAGGCCUUCGGGUUGUAAAGCACUUUUGUCCGGAAAGAAAACCUCUUGGAUAAUACCUGAGGGGGAUGACGGUACCGGAAGAAUAAGCACCGGCUAACUACGUGCCAGCAGCCGCGGUAAAUCGCCC
rnacentral:rRNA from 1 species